rnacentral:rRNA from 1 species
UACGAGGGGGGCAACCGUUGUUCGGAUUCAUUGGGCGUAAAGGGUGCGUAGGCGGUCGCGCAAGUCGGAUGUGAAAUCUCAGGGCUCAACCCUGAAACUGCAUUCGAUACUGCGUGGCUAGAGUGCUGGAGAGGAGACUGGAAUUCCUGGUGUAGCGGUGGAAUGCGCAGAUAUCAGGAGGAACACCGGUGGCGAAGGCGGGUCUCUGGGCAGUAAACUGACGC